CCUACGGGUGGCAGCAGUGGGGAAUUUUGCGCAAUGCUCGUAAGACUGACCCAGCGACGCCGCGUGAAUGACGAAGGCCUUCGGGUUGUAAAGUUCUUUUGACAGGGAAGAAAAUGCCUACAAGUAACUUGCUUUGUAUUGACGGUACCAGUAUAAGCAGCCCCGGCUAACGCCGUGCCAGCAGCCGCGGUAAUACGGAGGGGGCGGGCGUUGUUCGGAGGUACUGGUCGUAAAGAGCACGUAGGCGGUGUUGUAAGUCAGAAGUGAAAGCCUAGGGCUCAACGUUGGUAAGGCAGGUGAUACUAGAGUACUUGAGUAUCAGAGAGGAAUGCGGAAUUCCUGGUGUAGCGGUGAAAUGCGUAGAUAUCAGGAGGAAUACCGAUAGCGAAGGCGGCAGUCUGGCUGGAAACUGACGCUGAGGUGCGAAAGCGUGGGUAGCAAACAGGAUUAGAUACCCGUGUAGUC
rnacentral:rRNA from 1 species